rnacentral:rRNA from 1 species
AUGGAAAAGUACAUGAAUUCCUUUCCUGCAAGGACCAUAUUCCUGUGUGUGCUUCUCUUGUACUCUACGAUCCAUACAGAGUGCCAAAUCAUGCAAGGCCUGGCAAAUGAGAAGAUCAAUUUACCAACAGGAUUGUGCAUCCAUAGACCAGACAAAGUGUGCCCAAUUAAGCCAUUUUGUUUCUGUUGUUUAGUGAACGGCGAAUGCUAUCUUACAAUGGAUGCUUGCGUGAGUAACUGUGCAAAGUCUGCUUCAUCAGGCAUAGACGCUUCACAGAUAUAUGGUCGAUCACCUUCCCAUGUAAUACACCGAUGA